UACAGAGGUCUCAAGCGUUGUUCGGAUUCAUUGGGCGUAAAGGGCGCGUAGGCGGCGGGGUAAGUCGUGGUGUGAAAUCUCGGAGCUCAACUCCGAAAUUGCACUGGAUACUGCUCUGCUAGAGGCUGGAGAGGAGGAUCGGAAUUCACGGUGUAGCAGUGAAAUGCGUAGAUAUCGUGAGGAAGACCAGUGGCGAAGGCGGAUCUCUGGACAGCUCCUGACGCUGAGGCGCGAAGGCUAGGGGAGCAAACGGG
rnacentral:rRNA from 1 species